UGUCAGAAAUAGGGGUACAGUAGGGGUCCAUUUCUGUCCCCCAAGGUACAAUCUACAUAAAAGUACCCCAAAGGGCCCAUUAUUGGACCUCAAAGUACAUGUAUGUACCUUUUUGAGGGUCAAAAAGGUACAUAUUUGUUCCCAAGCAUUAAAAGGUACAUUUUUGUACCAUUUCUUUUAAAGGAUAAGGUACAAUGCUAAAAGAUACAGCCUCUUGCCAUUUUUUUAUUUGUUGUUCAAGACAACUGCUGUAAAUCUGGUCAAUAAAGUAAGUAACCAUUGUGUCAAUUUUGUUUCCUUUAGUUGGGCACAUGGGUCUUGAAGUAGUGUUAGUUUUCUUCUGUUCAUUGACAAUGUGUUUAAUUUAAAAUUUUAUUUGAAAUUUUAAUGAAAAAAAGUUAAUUUCAAUUCAUAAAAACUGUGCUGUGAACUCAAAAACUGCAAUUGAUUAACCAUUACUUACAAACUAAAUAAAUACUGAAUAACUAAAUCCCUCACACACAAUGAAAAAAAACGCGCUUUUAUUUUGACACGCGCCCAUCCCCCCACAUCUCACGGUCUGACUGGAGUCGAGUUUCACAGAGCAACGCAACAGGAGGAUGACACAACAGUUACAAGAGCAUUAACAGUAAGGACUAACAUUAACUGACUGUCUGUCCUCAACCAAAGUCAUUCAAGACCUGUAAAAGUUUAGCACAAACGUUUCCCGCGCAAGUUUGAAUCUCUCUCAGUCAGGGGAGAUUGACUGACUGACUGACUGACUGUCUACACGCCACCAAACAGUAAUUUAUACAGAAACCUUUUAAAGCAAAGUCAUUCAAGACUUGUUAAAGUUUAGCACAAACGUUUCCCGCGCAAGUUUGAAUAUCUCUCAGUCAGGGGAGAUUGACUGACUGACUGACUGUCUACACGCCACCAAACAGUAAUUUAUACAGAAACCGUUUAAAGUAAGGACUAAGGUUAACUGACUGUCUGUCUGUCUGUCUGUCUGUCGGUUCUCAACCAAAGUCAUUAAAGACCUGUUAAAGUAAGGACUAACGUUAACUGACUGUCUGUCUGUCUGCUCUCAACCAAACAGUCAUUCAAGACCUUUCAAAGUUUAGCACAAAAGUUUCCAGCACAAGUUUGGAUCUUUACCAUUGAGGGUGGCUGACUGUUCUCGACCAACCAUCAUUCACACGCAAAAACUUUAAAGAUAAGUAUGAACGUGCCCAGAGCAGUUUUCGAUCUUUACCAUUAAGGAGGCUGACUGACUAUCCUCUACCACCCGUCAUUAACACAACAAAAACUAAAGAAAUGUUACUCCAUAUGGACCUAUUCAUUUACUCAUUAUGCUGUGAGUACACCACAGUUUUAUCAGUGAAAAAAUUUAUAUUUGUGUGUUUUCUCACUUCUUGGCAAGGACAGAUGUGGCCCUGUUAAAAAUGUUUAAAUGUUGUUUGGUUAAGGAACAGCACACUGAUUUUGUUUUAAAAUAUUCCUGUUUGGACAGUCUGUUAAAGUCAAAGGAAUACUUGAUAUAUUUCUAAGUAAAGUGUAAAUGAAAAAAUUAGUUUUUAAUGUUGUGACUGAACACAAUGUUGUGAAUGAUUUGGACUGAACAGCACACUUCUGUUUUAUAUCUGAACCUUUUGUAAAAUAAAUGAUUGUUCAUUAAACUCACUGUGUAUUUUAUCUUUUCUGUUAUCAUUUUUUUAUACUAAUGUUUAAAAUUUACCUUUACUCUAAACAAUUGGCUAAACCAACACAAAUACACUG